rnacentral:rRNA from 1 species
UACGUAGGGGCGCAAGCGUUGUCCGGAAUUAUUGGGCGUAAAGAGCUCGUAGGCGGUCUGUCGCGUCGGCUGUGAAAACUUGGGGCUCAACCCCAAGCCUGCAGUCGAUACGGGCAGACUAGAGUGCGGUAGGGGAGACUGGAAUUCCUGGUGUAGCGGUGAAAUGCGCAGAUAUCAGGAGGAACACCGGUGGCGAAGGCGGGUCUCUGGGCCGUAACUGACGCUGAGGAGCGAAAGCGUGGGGAGCGAACAGG